CCUACGGGGGGCAGCAGUGGGGAAUAUUGCACAAUGGGCGAAAGCCUGAUGCAGCAACGCCGCGUGAAGGCAGAAGGGUUUCGGCUCGUAAACUUCUAUCAACAGGGACGAUAGUAAUGACGGUACCUGAAUAAGCAGCCCCGGCUAACUACGUGCCAGCCGCCGCGGGAAUAAGUAGGGCGAAAGCGUUAACCGGAAUUACUGGGUGUAAAGGGUGAGUCGGAGGCAUGGUAAGCCAGAUGUGAAAGCCUUGGGCUUAACCCGAGGAUUGCAUUUGAAACUAUCAAGCUAGAGUACAGGAGAGGAAAGCGGAAUUCCUAGUGUAGCGGUGAAAUGCGUAGAUAUUAGGAAGAAUACCAGUGGCGAAGGCGGCCUGCUGGAACGAAACUGACGCUGAGGCACGAAAGCGUGGGGAGCGAACAGGAUUAGAUACCCGGGUAGUC
rnacentral:rRNA from 1 species